UGUUGUGAGUUGCUAUGGAAUGCUAAUGAAUGAAUAUUUGAUGUUUAUGUGAUAUUGGGUGUUAGAGAAACGGUUGGAAGGGUUGUGUGAAUUGAUAAGCUUCUAGCUGCGCGGAAGAAACACUUUUUAAUAUUGGGGAUCAGCUCGGAGAACUAGGUAGGGACCUUAGUUAUUUGAUAGAUAUCCUUUUUGGUAUAGAAUGGAUUUGAAAAUGUUACGACCUGAAAUUUUGUUUAGUUAUAUUACUGAUAUGGGUGCGAAAAAGAAAAUUUUUCUCUUUUGAGAUGUAUAUACAUAUUAGAGCUUACUAGGUUGGUUUUAUAUUUUUGGGAA